UACGACACGCGCCUUGACCAUGGCGCCCCGGGCGCGGUUGUUGAGGAGCCGUGCCGCGGCAACGCUCGCCGCACGGCCGCGCCCGAAGGACCCACUCCUCCUGACUCCGCCGUGUGAGAGACCGCCUGCCUUCUGCGCGGCUCUGAGGGCCUGCGCGAGAAACGAUUUUGCCUUGGGCGCGCGCGUCGAACGGAUACGGCCUG
rnacentral:misc_RNA from 1 species